rnacentral:rRNA from 1 species
AUAAUUUAUAAUAUAUUAAUUUAAAAUCCAUUAAUUAUCUAAUAAAUCUAAACAUUAUUAAAUUUAGUAAAGGUGUUUAAAAUUUUAUGUCAUUAUUAGUAACUAAGUACUGUAAAGGAAUACUAUUAAUAAUAAAAAAGAAAAAAUGAAUCUUUUUACCUUUUGCAUCAUGGUUUAGCUAGAUUUAAAUUGAAUAUACUUCAAUUUCUCGAAAUUUAAUGAGCUAUUUUUAGUUUACAUGUUAGUGUAAAAUCAGUAGUUGUAGCAAAAACUUUUUUAAAACUAAGAAUAGAGAUGAAAUUUUAUUCGCAUUAAAUGAUAGCUAGUUCUUUUUAAAAUGCAUAUAAGUGCUUAAAAUUGAAUUAUUUCUGCAAUAUUUUAGCAGAUAUUUAGAUUCAAUUUAAUUAAAUUUUUAAGGAUAAGCUUAGAAAUUUUUAUUAUAAGAACGUUUUAAUCAUAUACUUAAAUUUGAGCUUGAAAAUAGCUAUUGUAAAUAUAGAUUUUGUUACAAUUUCAUUAUUUAUUUAAAUGUAUAAUUAUUUUGUUUUAAUUUAAAAGAAAGAGAACUCAAAAAUUAAUCUAGUGUUAUUUUUAUGCUAAGAUGAGUAUUUUUAUAAAUUAAAUAAUCUAGAAAUAAAGAAAAUGAGAUUAUAAUUUAAUUAUUAUUUAUAAAUCUUAAAAAGGAACUCGGCAAAUUUAUAUUCUGCCUGUUUAUUAAAAACAUGGCUCCUUGUUAACAAUAAUAAAUAAGGAGUUGGACCUGCCCGGUGAAAAUUUUUAACGGCCGCGGUACUCUGACCGUGCAAAGGUAGCAUAAUCAUUUGCCUUAUAAUUGAAGGCUAGUAUGAAUGGUUUGACAAGAAUAUGACUGUCUCUUUAUAGAUUUAUUAGAAUUUUAUCUUAAGGUGAAGAAGCCUUAAUUAAAUUAAUAGACAAGAAGACCCUGUCGAGCUUUAAAAAACUUAAUAGAACUAAAUAUAAAUCAAAAAGAAAAAAUUGACUAUUAAAAACUUUAGUUGGGGCGACUGAGGAAUAAAUAAAGCUUCCUUUAUUUUUUGAAAUAUAUAAAUUUAGAUCCAAAAAUUUUGAUUAAAAAAAUUAGUUACCGCAGGGAUAACAGCAUUAUCUUUUUUAAGAGUUCUUAUCGAAAAAAAGGUUUGUGACCUCGAUGUUGGACCAGAAUAUCCCAAAGAUGCAGAAGUCUUUAAAGGUUGGUCUGUUCGACCAUUAAAAUUCUACGUGAUCUGAGUUUAGACCGGCGUGAGCCAGGUCAGUUUCUAUCUUUAAUUACUUAAGUAUACUUAGUACGAAAGGACCAGUUUACUAUAAGUUGUCAUAUUAAUUAAGAAAAAAUAUAAGAAUAACUUAAAAA